GUGGGGAAUAUUGGACAAUGGGCGAAAGCCUGAUCCAGCCAUGCCGCGUGUGUGAAGAAGGUCUUCGGAUUGUAAAGCACUUUAAGUUGGGAGGAAGGGCAUUAACCUAAUACGUUAGUGUUUUGACGUUACCGACAGAAUAAGCACCGGCUAACUUCGUGCCAGCAGCCGCGGUAAUACGAAGGGUGCAAGCGUUAAUCGGAAUUACUGGGCGUAAAGCGCGCGUAGGUGGUUCGUUAAGUUGGAUGUGAAAGCCCCGGGCUCAACCUGGGAAAUGCAUCCAAAACUGGCGAGCUAGAGUACGGUAGAGGGUGGUGGAAUUUCCUGUGUAGCGGUGAAAUGCGUAGAUAUAGGAAGGAACACCAGUGGCGAAGGCGACCACCUGGACUGAUACUGACACUGAGGUGCGAAAGCGUGGGGAGCAAACAGGAUUAGAAACCCCAGUAGUCC
rnacentral:rRNA from 1 species